ACCUGGCUGGCUCAAUUGGUGGAGCAUGAGACUCUUGAUCUCAGGUCAAGAGUUCAAGCUCCAUGUUGGGCA
rnacentral:tRNA from 1 species